rnacentral:piRNA from 1 species
UCAGAAAUAUUGAUGUAGGAGCCUCUCC